CAAAGACUUUAUCUGCAUCAGAUCACACUAAGCUUUCUGUAUCAGCAACACACUAAGCUCAAUCAUGCACCUCUCUGUGUCUAACUUAUCUCAUCAUCCACAACCUCUUUGAUUCCACCCCUUCACUUCCCACCUCUUUUAUUCUACCUUAUCUCAUCAUCCACCCCUUCACCACCCACCUAUUUUAUUCUAGCUUAUCUCAUCACCCACCCCUUCACCACCUUUCACCACCCACCCCUUGACAUAUUUAUUUCAUCACCCACCCCUUUUCAUCCCCCACCCCUUGAGAUAUUUCUAUUGCACCAUCACCCUGAUGUAAUAUUUCAGAUUUCCAUUGCACCUUUUUAAUUCUCGCUUAUCUCAUCUGCAAUUUAAUAUUCACAUAUCUCCUGCAUGCCUCUCUUUUUCUAUUUUAAAAAAUAUAAGUUAAUAAAUCAUUUAAAACUUCAUUUUUUUAAAAUAUACCUGAAUUUAUACUAUCCAUAAACAAUUAUAAGUUCUAUAUAAUUUUUUAUAUGAAGAAAGGAAAGUAAUAUAGUUGUAAAAAUUAUUAAUUCUAAAUCUUAGUAACAGAAAUAUUGGUAUAUUUAUCAAUUACUUUUAUAUUAUAUUUUUUCUAUGGUAUAGAUUACUUAUUAUAUACUAAACUUUAAGUCCUUACAUUAUAUUUUAUAAAUUAAUUAGUCAAAAUAUAUAUUUCUUUCACUAAUUAUUUUAUCUACUUUUUUAUUGUAUCUUUUUCCAAUAUCACUCUUUUUAUUUUGUGUCAUUGUAUUAAACUUUAUUUAAAUAUUUGGAUCAUAAAAAAUAAUGUUAUAAAAAUUAAUUUUGUAAAUCUUGUAUAAUAAAAUUAUUGUGUAUAAUUAUCAAUUACUUUUAUAUUUCAUUUUUUUUACUAUUGCAUGGAAUACUUAUUUUAUACUAAACUUUAAAUCCUUAUAUUAUAUUUUAUAGAUUAAUUAGUAAAAAAAUGAAUUUUUUUGUCUAAUGAUUUAAUCUUUUUUUUAUUGUAUCUUUUUCUAAUCUCAUUCUUCUUAUUUUAUGUCAUUGUAUUAAACUUUAUUUAAAUUAUUUAACUAAUAAGGUGUUUUUGAUUAUAUAACUCAUAUAACUAAUAACAUAUGAAGAAUAUAUAAAUAAUUGUAUAAUCUUUUUAUUUUUAGGAUCAUGAAUCAAUUAUAAGUUGUUUAUAUUAUAUUACCAUUUUAGUAAUAUUUAAUUCAUACAUUAAAUGUAUAUUUUUAAUCUCCUUCAAAAGUCUAAUCAUUUUUAUAGGUUUUUAUGAUAAAUUUAAUAUCUUUAAUUAUGUAUUAAUAUGUUUUCUUAUUUGUAAUUUUAUAUAAAAUAUUAUAUGUUAAAAUAGAAAAAACUUUAUUUUAUAAAAUAUGUAAUAUCGUUGUUAUAUUUUCUGAUGAUAAUUACAACAUAAAAAAAUCAAUAAUAAUAAAUAAAUUUGAUACUAAUAGUUAAUUUUACUAUUUCAGACCAAAUUUUUAUAUCACAAGCACCUAACUUCUUCUAAUAAUACCAUUCUCUAUCAUAUUCUUUUUCUCUAUCAGAUUAUUUUACAUUAUUUACUGUCAUAUUAUUUCUUCUUUCAAUCCAUUUUACUCUAUCAGAUUUUUUUUCAUCAUUAGCAACACACUAAGCUCAACCAUGCACCUCUUUCUUUCACUAAUUAUUUAAUCUACUUUUUUAUUGUAUCUUUUUCCAAUCUCACUCUUUUUAUUUUGUGUCAUGGUAUUAAACUUUAUUUAAAUAUUUGGAUCAUAAAAAAUAAUGUUAUAAAAAUUAUUUUUUGUAAAUCAUGUAUAAUAAAAUUAUUGUGUAUAAUUAUCAAUUACUUUUAUAUUUCAUUAUUUUACUAUUGCAUGGAAUACUUAUUUUAUACUAAACUUUAAAUCCUUAUAUUAUAUUUUAUAGAUUAAUUAGUAAAAAAUUAUAUUUUUUUGUCUAAUGAUUUAAUCAACUUUUUUAUUGUAUCUUUUUCUAAUCUCAUUCUUCUUUUUUUAUGUCAUUGUAUUAAACUUUAUUUAAGUUAUUUAACUAAUAAGGUGUUUUUGAUUAUAUAACUCAUAUAAUUAAUAACAUAUCAAGAAUAUAUAAAUAGUUGUAUAAUAUUUUUAUUUUUAUGAUCAUGAAUCAAUUAUAAAUUGUUUAUAUUAUAUUACAAUUUUAGUACAUUUAUUCAUACAUUAAAUGUAUAUUUUUAAUCUCCUUCAAAAGUCUAAUCAUUUUUAUAGGUUUUUUAUGAUAAAUUUAAUAUCUUUAAUUAUGUAUUAAUAUGUUUCCUUAUUUGUAAUUUUAUAUAAAAUAUUAUAUGUUAAAAUAGAAAAAACUUUAUUUUAUAAAAUAUAUAAUAUCGUUGUUCUAUUUUCUGAUGAUAAUUACAACAUAAAAAAAUCAAUAAUAAUAAAUAAAUUUGAUACUAAUAGUUAAUUUUACUAUUUCAGACCAACGUUUUAUAUCACAACCGUAACUUCUUCUGAUAUUUCUUCUUUCAAUCCAUUUCACUCUAUCAGAUUUUUUUUAUUCCACCCCUUCACUUCCGAACUCUUUUAUUCUACCUUAUCUCGUCAUCCACCCCUUCACCACCCACCUAUUUUAUUCUAGCUUAUCUCAUCACCCACCCCUUCACCACCUUUCACCACCCACCCCUU
rnacentral:lncRNA from 1 species